rnacentral:rRNA from 1 species
AUUGAACGCUGGCGGCAUGCUUUACACAUGCAAGUCGAACGGCAGCGCGGGCUUCGGCCUGGCGGCGAGUGGCGCACGGGUGAGUAAUGCAUCGGAACGUGCCCAGUAGUGGGGGAUAGCCCGGCGAAAGCCGGAUUAAUACCGCAUACUACCUGCGGGUGAAAGCGGGGGACCGAAAGGCCUCGCGCUAUUGGAGCGGCCGAUGUCGGAUUAGCUAGUUGGUGGGGUAAAGGCUUACCAAGGCGACGAUCCGUAGCUGGUCUGAGAGGACGACCAGCCACACUGGGACUGAGACACGGCCCAGACUCCUACGGGAGGCAGCAGUGGGGAAUUUUGGACAAUGGGGGCAACCCUGAUCCAGCCAUGCCGCGUGCGGGAAGAAGGCCUUCGGGUUGUAAACCGCUUUUGUUCGGGAAGAAAUCCUCUGGGCUAAUACCCCGGGGGGAUGACGGUACCGGAAGAAUAAGCACCGGCUAACUACGUG